CACACCGCCCGUCACACCAUGGGAGUUUGUUGCACCAGAAGCAGGUAGCUUAACCUUCGGGAGGGCGCUUGCCACGGUGUGGCCGAUCGACUCGGGGUG
rnacentral:rRNA from 1 species